rnacentral:rRNA from 1 species
UGGGGAAUAUUGGACAAUGGGCGAAAGCCUGAUCCAGCCAUGCCGCGUGUGUGAAGAAGGUCUUCGGAUUGUAAAGCACUUUAAGUUGGGAGGAAGGGCAUUAACCUAAUACGUUAGUGUUUUGACGUUACCGACAGAAUAAGCACCGGCUAACUCUGUGCCAGAAGCCGCGGUAAUACAGAGGGAGCAAGAGUUAAUCGGAAUUACUGGGCGUAAAGCGCGCGUAGGUGGUUUGUUAAGUUGGAUGUGAAAUCCCCGGGCUCAACCUGGGAACUGCAUUCAAAACUGACUGACUAGAGUAUGGUAGAGGGUGGUGGAAUUUCCUGUGUAGCGGUGAAAUGCGUAGAUAUAGGAAGGAACACCAGUGGCGAAGGCGACCACCUGGACUAAUACUGACACUGAGGUGCGAAAGCGUGGGGAGCAAACA